AUACGGAGGAUCCGAGCGUUAUCCGGAUUUAUUGGGUUUAAAGGGUGCGCAGGCGGCCAUUUAAGUCAGCGGUUAAAUCGUGGGGCUCAACCCCAUUCUGCCGUUGAUACUGGGUGGCUUGAUUGCGGUCGAGGUUGGCGGAAUUCGUUGUGUAGGGGGGAAAUGCAUAGAUAUGACGAAGAACACCGAUUGCGUAGGCAGCUGACCAGACCGCAAAUGACGCUCAUGCACGAAAGUGCGGGGAUCGAACAGGAUUAGAUACCCUGGUAGUCCGCACAGUAAACGAUGAAUACUUGUUUUCGGCGAUAUAAUGUCGGAGGCAAAGCGAAAGCGAUAAGUAUUCCACCUGGGGAGUACGCCGGCAACGGUGAAACUCAAAUGAAUUGACGGGG
rnacentral:rRNA from 1 species